rnacentral:rRNA from 1 species
UACGAACGCUGGCGGCAUGCCUAAUACAUGCAAGUCGAACGAGAUCUUCGGAUCUAGUGGCGCACGGGUGCGUAACGCGUGGGAAUCUGCCCUUGGGUUCGGAAUAACGUCGGGAAACUGACGCUAAUACCGGAUGAUGACGUAAGUCCAAAGAUUUAUCGCCAAAGGAUGAGCCCGCGUAGGAUUAGCUAGUUGGUAAGGUAAAGGCUUACCAAGGCGACGAUCCUUAGCUGGUCUGAGAGGAUGAUCAGCCACACUGGGACUGAGACACGGCCCAGACUCCUACGGGAGGCAGCAGUAGGGAAUAUUGGACAAUGGGCGCAAGCCUGAUCCAGCAAUGCCGCGUGAGUGAUGAAGUCCUUAGGGUUGUAAAGCUCUUUUACCCGGGAUGAUAAUGACAGUACCGGGAGAAUAAGCCCCGGCUAACUCCGUGCCAGCCGCCGCGGUAA